GACGAACGCUGGCGGCGUGCUUAACACAUACAAGUCGAACGGAAAGGCCCUGCUUUUGUGGGGUGCUCGAGUGGCGAACGGGUGAGUAACACGUGAGUAACCUGCCCUUGACUUUGGGAUAACUUCAGGAAACUGGGGCUAAUACCGGAUAGGAGCUCCUGCUGCAUGGUGGGGGUGGGAAAGUUUCGGCGGUUGGGGAUGGGCUCGGGGCUUAUCAGCUUGUUGGUGGGGUAGUGGCUUACCAAGGCUUUGACGGGUAGCCGGCCUGAGAGGGUGACCGGCCACAUUGGGACUGAGAUACGGCCCAGACUCCUACGGGAGGCAGCAGUGGGGAAUAUUGCACAAUGGGCGGAAGCCUGAUGCAGCAACGCCGCGUGCGGGAUGACGGCCUUCGGGUUGUAAACCGCUUUCGCCUGUGACGAAGCGUGAGUGACGGUAAUGGGUAAAGAAGCACCGGCUAACUACGUG
rnacentral:rRNA from 1 species